UGAAUACGAGAUGCUACGGCGUCGAAGCAGUCUAUGUCAUACUUCCAAGAAAAGCUUGCACUGUCAUAAACAAAUAAUGCCUGUACCAUAACCGACACAGGUGGGUAGGUAGAGUAUACUAAGGGGCGCGAGAUAACUCUCUCUAAGGAACUCGGCAAAAUGACUCCGUAACUUCGGGAGAAGGAGUGCCUUAUUUUAUAAGGUUGCAAUAACAAGAUCCAAGCAACUGUUUACCAAAAACACAGGUCUCCGCUAAGUCGUAAGACGAUGUAUGGGGGCUGACGCCUGCCCAGUGCCAGAAGGUUAAAGAAGUUGGUUAGCAUCCGCGAAGCUGAUAACUGAAGCCCUGGUGAACGGCGGCCGUAACAAUAACGGUCCUAAGGUAGCGAAAUUCCUUGUCGGGUAAGUUCCGACCCGCACGAAAGGCGUAAUGAUUUGGAUACUGUCUCGGAGAGGGGCUCGGUGAAAUAGACUUGUCUGUGAAGAUGCGGACUACCUGCACCAGGACAGAAAGACCCUAUGAAGCUUUACUGUAACCUGAAAUUGAAAUUGGACUUUACUUGCGCAGUAUAGGUGGGAGGCGUUGAGAAUAUUCUUGCGGGAUUAUUGGAGCCAUCAGUGAGAUACCACUCUUGUAAUGUUAGAUUUCUAACUUUGUAUCAUUAUCUGGUCAAAGAACAGUUUCAGGCGGGCAGUUUGACUGGGGCGGUCGCCUCCUAAACGGUAACGGAGGCGCACAAAGGUUUCCUCUGAACGGGUAGAAAUCGUAUCUAGAGUGUAAAGGCAUAAGGAAGCUUGACUGUGAGACCUACAAGUCGAGCAGGGACGAAAGUCGGUCUUAGUGAUCUGACGGUGCUGAGUGGAAAGGCCGUCACUCAACGGAUAAAAGUUACUCUAGGAUAACAGGCUGAUCUCCCCCAAGAGUUCACAUCGACGGGGAGGUUUGGCACCUCGAUGUCGGCUCAUCGCAUCCUGGGGCGGUAGUACGUCCCAAGGGUUGGGCUGUUCGCCCAUGAAAGCGGUACGCGAGCUGGGUUCAGAACGUCGUGAGACAGUUCGGUCCAUAUCCGGUGUAGGCGUUAGAAUAUUGAGAGGAGCCUUCUUUAGUACGAGAGGACCGAGAAGGACAUACCUCUGGUGUACCAGUUAUCGUGCCAACGGUAAACGCUGGGUAGCUAUGUGUGGAGUGGAUAACCGCUGAAAGCAUCUAAGUGGGAAGCCCACCUCAAGAUAAGUAUUCUC
rnacentral:rRNA from 1 species